AUUGCAGCCUUAGUUUGCCUCCUAAAUCUGAAUUCCUUAUGAGCAGCCAUUGAUCUUAAACCCGUUUGCAAGAGAAGUGCACAGACAUGAAGUUUCUUGUAAGCUUUUCUUGCUUCAUAUUUGCGUAUAUGCUUCUGCAUUUUUAUAGCAGCUGCCUCCCGUUUCAGGCGAUCAAAAAGUUUGCAAGCAAGUCUUCCUCUCCAUAGCGCCUGAACGAAUAUGGUGGCUUUCCGAAGGGCAAUAAACCGUUUACGAGCACAAUGAGUUCGUAUUCGACGUUGGAUAGUUUUUGCUGCAUUGCUGAGUACUUCAGCUCUCCGUGCAUCUAAUUCAGCCAUCUGACCGGCUCUUAGGAAUACCUUUGUUUUGCCUAUCUGAAAGCCUUGAAGCCCC
rnacentral:misc_RNA from 1 species